UACGUAGGGGGCAAGCGUUGUCCGGAAUCAUUGGGCGUAAAGAGCGUGUAGGCGGCCCGAUAAGUCCGCUGUGAAAGUCCAGGGCUCAACCCUGGGAUGCCGGUGGAUACUGUCGGGCUCGAGUCCGGAAGAGGAGUGUGGAAUUCCGUGGUGUAGCGGUGAAAUGCGCAGAUAUCGUAAGGAAGACCAGUGGCGAAGGCGGGUCUCUGGACAGUUCCUGACGCUGAGGCACGAAGGCCAGGGGAGCAAACGGG
rnacentral:rRNA from 1 species